GACGAACGCUGGCGGCGUGCUUAACACAUGCAAGUCGAACGGAAAGGCCCUGCUUUUGGGGGGUGCUCGAAUGGCGAACGGGUGAGUAACACGUGAGUAACCUGCCCUUGACUUUGGGAUAACUUCAGGAAACUGGGGCUAAUACCGGAUAGGAUCUCCUGCUGCAGGGUGGGGGUGGGAAAGUUUCGGCGGUUGGGGAUGGACUCGCGGCUUAUCAGCUUGUUGGUGGGGUAGUGGCUUACCAAGGCUUUGACGGGUAGCCGGCCUGAGAGGGUGACCGGCCACAUUGGGCCUGAGAUACGGCCCAGACUCCUACGGGAGGCAGCGGUGGGGAAUAUUGUACAAUGGGAGGAAGCCUGAUGUAGCAACGCCGCGUGCGGGAUGACGGCCUUCGGGUUGUAAACCGCUUCCGCCUGUGACGAAGAGUGAGUGACGGUAAUGGGUAAAGAAGCACCGGCUAACUACGUG
rnacentral:rRNA from 1 species